CGCGUAAAGCUUCUUGCGAGCGAGGGAUCGUGAGCCGCUGAUGCUCUUGGAAGAGGAGGCAAUGUGAGGAUCUCGUCUCUGCACGGAACAGCCUGCCUGGGACCUGGGACCCUGCAAGCAGUGGACAGACACGUCAAGCAGAGACACGGGCUUCUUGGAGAAGUCAUGCUCGUCUUCCGAACAAACUAUUCGGCUCAAAGCACAAUAUUUUCUGGCUCAGAGUUUGACGUUUGGAGUGGCAGUUGUCCCCACGCGGGCAAAUUCUGAAAAUCUGUAAUUCUCGGAAAUAAUCGCCAACCCGCAGAAAGAAUGUGUUUACACAGAAACUUCUCAGCGUUCAUCCCGAAGCCGUUAUCUCUCUGUUCCCUGCCUCCUCUCCAGCCACCGUUUGCCAAAGGAUCCCAGCUAAGGUCUUGUCCCAAUAGGCUCCUCCUCAGACGGAGCCAUAGAAUUUCCUGCUAUUUGUCACUCCUAAUAUUUAUUUCGAAAAUCAAAUCUGUGCUCGGGUGGUCACGAAGCAUCCAACUCCGACGGCUCACCCAUGGUCAGCCAAAAAGUCCCAUUAGCACCGUGGUAGCUGGCCUCGGAAAAGGAUCCUUUAGAAGAAAACCAUUGAACACGCAGCUUCUAGACCCUUCCCCCUCUCACAGAACUGCAAGUGUGAGACCUCUUCUACUUACUAUUUCAAAACAGGGUUUGCAGCCUUAGCUGGGCCAAUGACAGGAGUUCUCAACCUGUGGGUCGAUACCCCUUUGGGGAGUCUAAUGACCUUUUCACAGGGGUCUAGCUAUCAGCUAUCCUGAUUGUUGGAUAUUUACAUUACAAUUCAUAAUGGUAGCAAAAUUACAGUAAUGAAGUAGCAUUGAAAUGUUAUGGUUGGGGGUCUCACCACAACCUGAGGAACCGUCUUC
rnacentral:lncRNA from 1 species